AUUGAACGCUGGCGGCAUGCCUUACACAUGCAAGUCAAACGGUAACAGGUCUUCGGAUGCUGACGAGUGGCGAACGGGUGAGUAAUACAUCGGAACGUGCCUAGUAGUGGGGGAUAACUACUCGAAAGAGUGGCUAAUACCGCAUGAGAUCUACGGAUGAAAGCAGGGGAUCGAAAGACCUUGUGCUACUAGAGCGGCCGAUGGCAGAUUAGGUAGUUGGUGGGAUAAAAGCUUACCAAGCCGACGAUCUGUAGCUGAUCAGAGAGGACGAUCAGCCACACUGGGCCUGAGAAACGGCCCAGACUCCUACGGGAGGCAGCAGUGGGGAAUUUUGGACAAUGGGCGCAAGCCUGAUCCAGCAAUGCCGCGUGCAGGAUGAAGGCCUUCGGGUUGUAAACUGCUUUUGUACGGAACGAAAAGCCCUGGGUUAAUACCCUGGGGUCAUGACGGUACCGUAAGAAUAAGCACCGGCUAACUACGUGCCAGCCGCCGCGGUAACAC
rnacentral:rRNA from 1 species